rnacentral:lncRNA from 1 species
UGAGGGGAGGAACAUGCCUAUAAUCUGCCUGAUUCAUAUUUUCUUGACGAGGAUCUACAUACGCCCGCGAUUGAGGUGCAUGUGGUAGAAUGCCUGACCCAACUUGCUGGAAAUCAUGGACCCUAUGCUGCGGCUGUGCAGUAACAGGAACGGACCUCUCAAAUUCAACCUCAGGCUGAGAACAUGAAGUCUGCGGAGGACCGGACUUAGCCAAUGGAAUCCCCAAUGGAACUGCAGAUACACCUGCAUAAGCUGGGGGGUUGGUAUCUGCAAAGACUAGUUUUGGAGUAGAAUCAUGAGAAGCAUCCAAAUUAUCCCCAGGGGAUAACAGGCUGGUAGAUGGUGACCAAGUCACAUCCCCUUGACCAGGACCUGAGCUCUCAACAGCCUCAGUCCCACUAAAAUCAGAGUUUUGCGUUGAAGUUACACUCGCCAUACUCCCCUUCCUAGUGAUACGACCACCGCCAUCCACAACCCCAUUUACUGCAUCAAAAUAUCUCUGCCCGCUAUCAUGUAAAUCUCCAAAUUGGACUGAACCAGAAGCAUCGAGCUGUGAAUCCGAAAACAAAAACACCCUUAACUUAGCUGACCCAUCUGAAGACCUCUCAAGCAACUUCUCAUAUUCCUCCAUCAUAUUAUCAAGAUCAUCAGCACAUGAAACAGACACCAAUGCAUCAAGGUCCUCAUCAGGAAGCUGGUAUUUAAUAACAACAGGCUGCUGAUAUGUAUCCAUCAUCUUCCGCUGCAGCUCAUUAAUGCUCACAUCUCUCCUCACACUAAUAAUCCUUGUUUGCCCUCCAGCAUAUCUCAACGUACCAUCACUUGGUCUUGGCAAAAUCUUCCCCCCAAAACUACACAAAAACUUCACUUUCUUCCCCGACACUGAAUCAUCCCCACCAUCUUCACUCCCAUGGUCAGCCCCACCACUAGCGUGACUCCCCAAAUUGGUAUUACAACCCAGCCCCGUAUUUACUGCCUCAAUGCUCCCAUUAACAUUAACCCGAUUCCCAAAAUUGGGUGAAGAACCAGAUCCCAACACCAUAUCAUUUCCGGCACGAUCAACAGCAUUACCAACUAUCCUGUUCCCCAAAUUAGGAUUAUAACCAAACGGAACACCAGAACCAUUUGCACCCACGUUCAUACUCCCAACCGACACGGGAACCGGCAUGAGUGGGGCCCACGGGGCAGCCCCGGAAUAAGCAUUCCCAUAUCCUAAACCUACAAAACCAGCAUCAGACACCGAUGCCGGAUAGAUAACAGGAAUAGAACCUUCUGGGCUGGCAAAAAACUCAUGUUUUCUACCAGCUGUUACUGGUGUAGUGACAGAACUACUAGUAGCACUAGCAAUAGCAGCCACAAUGCGGGGCUCUUCAGGUAUGGUUCUAGCUAUGUUUAAUGGCCUUGUAUCUUUUGGUGUUGGGGUCUGAUCAAAAGCCAUAAAUAAACUUAAAAUUGAAGAGAUAAAAAAUCAAUCUUUAUUCACAAACUUAGGGUUUCCCAAAUGGGUUUUCCUCUACACAUUCACUACUCUCAUAAACCCUCACAAGAUUUUGCAAAGACAGGGACAGACAUAAAUAACCCAAAGACAGAGUCAAACAAAGAGAAAGAGAGAGACCAAGUUACCAGAUUUGAACGGUGACUACCAAGGAUAGAUAAGAAUAAGAAAAGAUGACACAUAUAACAGCAGCUGAGUCGGUGCAGCAGCAGCAGCUGAGUCGGUGCAGCAGCAGCAGCAGAAUUUGAAAAGAGCUUAGCCAAAUUCAGGGCUUUGUUUGGAAGAGGGUGAAUCGUAUUAUUUUAUUUCUCUGUGUUUUGUUCUGUGCAAUCGGUAAUGGGACUGGUCGUUUUGGUUUUGAUCUUGUUGUGUUUUCUUUAUUAUGACUUAGGUUUUAAGGAAGGAAGGAGAGGGAGAGAGGGAUUUCGGCAACGAGGCACGUGGACCGUUUCAUGCAGGUUGAGUUAGAGGUCAAAUGUAUGUGUUCUGUACGUUUGUUUGCUUGCCUUUUUGAGUGGGAAAUUGGAAAGUGACGAGAUUGAGUGAGAGAGACUUGAGAGAGAGAGAGAGAGAGAUUCAAGGGAAGGUGCGGGAUGGCAGGAUCUACCUAUAUUCUACUAAAAAAAAAUUAAAAAAUAAAUUCACAUCUAUAAAAUAUAAAAUAAAAGAAAAGAAAACAUAUAUAUUUAUUGUUGAGUCAAUCUAUUAAAACUGGUUUAAGUGUGUGUUUUGGUUAAUCAAACUAAUGAAGUGUUGUUGUUAAUCAAACUAAUGUCCGUAUUAUUUUAUUUGAAAAAGAAAUUAAUGUCAUUUUAUAAUUAAUAAAAAUAAAAUAAAAUUUGCUUGCAAACCAAACUAAAUUAAAUCGAGUUGAUGGGCGUUUCAUUCACGAAUAUUUUGAGUGUAGCGAGAGAGAAAAUUAUGGUAUUUCACGGCUUUGUACUUAGAAUAAAAAAACAAACUAGAUAGGUACCUUCACUUCCGCACGUCUUUUAUAAUUAUUAUCAUUUAUAGAUAAUGCAUGUAGAAAAAUAAAUAAAUUAUAUAUAUAUAUAUAUAUAUAUAUAUAUAUAUAUAUAUAUUAUUGUAAUUCACUGCGUACUUUCUUGAUUUGUCUAUUCAAAGGUUGGUGGUGUUUCGCAUCAUUUUUUCUAUUUUAUAUUGGUUUUUAAAAAAACUUUUUCUACAAAGAAAAAAAUAUUUAUUAAUAUUCAAUUGUCAUGUAAAAAAUAAAUUGAAAAACAAUAUGGUUUGACCCGUUUACCAUGGCUGCGUAAAUUAAAAAACGGAGUAAUGAAUAUUGAUCAUAAAUGGUUAAUUUGGGCCCACUUCUUAGUUUAUCUAUACCUGACUUUCAACUCCUCAUGACCAUUUAUCUCAUUCCACGCUACAUUACAGAUCGAUUUAUUUUUUACAAUAUAAAAAAUAUGCUAGGAUGGUAUAAAUAUUUUUUUAAAAAAAAAGUAAAACAAGAACGAGACUCCAGACACUAUCUCAAUUAGAUUUAAUAAACUCUGCUAGAUUAAAAUUAUAUUUAAUAAUUCUGAUUAAUUUAAUAAUAUGAAUAAAAAUACAACAAUAAAAAAUAAAAUAAUUAAAAAAUAAUAAUUAAAAAGUUUAAAAAGACCCAACCCAGGCCCGUUCAGGUUUGCACGUCAAAUAUACGACUUAAAUUACUAAACAACCAAAUAUUGGAUGAAACUAAAAAAAAUAAUUAUUUUUAAAAAACCAACGAAACAAAAUUUGAGUCAAAUAAUGUUUACCUGUUAACCCCGCGAUCAUGAGUAUAAAAUUAGAAAAACCCCAUAAUAAAAGCACGAAGAUCAAUUCUCAAUUAAGUAAAUAUUAAACAAUGAAAUUGAAAUAAUUUUUUUUUAAAAAAUCAAAUGCUAGAGAAAAAAUCAAAUGAUAAUGCAAUAAACUCAUAGAAAGUAAAAUAGAAAAGAUUUAAAGUUCGAUUUAUAGUAAACAAAAUAUUAAAGGAUAAAAUCAAAGAAAAAUUAAUCCAAAAAAGGUCAAAAAACCCUAACCUAAGUCCACCCGGGUCAGCAUGAAAAACCUGUGACCUAGUUGUGAUAUUGGGGUAAUCCUAUCAAAAAUAAAUUGAAUAAACUUUAAAGUUUAAUUAUCAAACAAUUUAAUAUUAAAGAGUAAGAUAACUCGGGUUCUUUUUAAAAUUAUUGAAAAAUCUAAUGGAAAGAAAAUUUAAAAAACAACAGGGUCCAAAUUCCAAUUAAAUAGGUAUUGAAUAAUGAAACUAAAAAAAACAAAAGCUUAAAAAAAAUCAAAAAAAUUUAGAUAAAAUUCUUAAAUCUGAGUUAAUUUCUCAAAUUUUCAACCAGAUGUAACCCAUUUUUUUUAUUUUAUUCAGUAAAAAAAAUAUUAUUAAAAAUCACGUCCACAACAAUUAAAGCAUGAAAAUUAAAAAUAUAAAUUUAUAAAUCAUUACAUCAUACGAUAAUAAAACAUAAAAAGAAUCAAAAUGAUAAUCUACACAUGAAAUGAUAUACAUGCAUUAAUAAAAAAAUCUGAAUCGGGUCCAAGUCGAUGAUGGAAAUCACUCUCAUUCCAUCCCAACCUUAACAAAACCAAAUUUGAUUUUACCAUAUAUGAUUUGACGUUAGUCAAAUCAAGUUAAAACUCAACCUAACUAAAUUAAAUUAAUUUUUAUAGACUGAAAUUACUAUUUUUAAUACAAGUUAAACUCAAAAUUGUUCGUAUAAUAUAUUGAUUUGAUAUUUAUAUUCUGUAUAUUUCUUUUGAUUUGUUAUAUUCCUUAAUGAUAUUUUUUUGGCUUAUUAUGUCUCUUGAGUUAAAUAGUUAUUAAAUCAUAAUUAGUUGCAAGCACAUGAAAUAUUUUUUAUAUGACAAGUGUAUAAGAAAAUUAUUUUUUAGUGAAAAUUCUCUUCAACAAAAGAACAACAAAAAUGAAAAAAAUAUAUAAUAUUAAGAAAAAAAACACUUAAAAGUGAUUUUUAAUGGAAAAUAUAUUAAAAUAAUAUUUUUUUUACAUUGGCACAUCAAAAUUAUAAAAAACACCUAAAAACCAUUAAUUUAAUGUUUAUUAUUUUUAGGUAAAAAAUAAUUUAAAAAACAUAUUGAAAAGUGGAUUGAACCACAUUACCAAAUAGAGAUUUGAUUAAAUAGUUCUUUUUUCAUCUUAGAUGCAAACUGAUUAUUUUGAAUGUGCCUGUUAGGGGUUUUGGCCUUUUGGAAGGGAAAGUUGUUUGUCGAGUUUUCUUAAAGAUGACUACGAGCGUGUUUGACAGUGUGGUUGCGAGUACUUUUCAAAUAACUUUUCGUGCCAAAAUGCAUGUCAAUGAUGUUUUUUUCAUUUUUAAAAAAUCAUUUUUGACAUCAGCACAUCAAAACAAUCCAAAACAUACAAAUCAUAUUAAAUUUUAGCAAAAAAAAAAAAAUUCAAUUUUUUUGGGAACGCAGCCGCGUUCCCAAACGUUCCCUACAUCGGUUGCUUGCUAAGAUGAGUGAAAGAGAAACUAAGUGCAUGUUUAGAAGUGCAAUAGCUUCUCUUUUUAAAUGCUUUUCAAAAUUGUUUUUUUUAAUAAGUUAAAAUGAUUUUUUUUUGAAUUUUUUAUUUUUAACAAUAACAUAAAAAACUAUUAAAAAACACUAAAAAAACUUUAGUGACAGUUUUAAAAUAAACUCAAACACAAUUUCAAUUGUGAUGUCAAACGAUCAUUAAAGUUGGUGGUGUGAUGUCGCAAUGACUGAGAUAAAAGAAGGAUUGAUGGUGGUGACUGCUACUUUAGUGGCCAUGGUCAAGGCAACAAUGUGUGUGAGAAGGUGAGGAAUGGAGUUGUGAUUGAAUUCGUGUGUGUUUAUUAUUAUAGUGCAAAGUGUUAUUUACUUGAAAAUGGUUUUUUUAUGUUUUUUUUUAAUUUUCAUUAUUAACACAUUAAAACCAAAAAAAAAAUACUAAGAAAGCAUCAAUUUGAUGCUUUUUUAAAAAGUAAAAUUCAUUUUUAAAACGCAUAAGAAAAGACAAAAAACUAUCUCAUUCUCAAACACUCCUGAAGAAGAAGAAAAGGUUGUGACAAUGGUUGUGGGCUGUUUUGGAUAGCUUAAACAAUGUGGAGAGACAUUAAGAGUUUUUACUUUUUUUCAUCAUUUUUUUUUGAAGAAAUUCAUAUAAAAAUAAUUUUUUUUAUUUUGUUUGUGAUGUUAUAAUUUUAUUUUUAAUAUAAUACGUGCAUUUAUUUUUGUUCUUCCCCUCCCCUCCCAAGAGGUUCAAUUAAUGAAAGUCAUAGACUAACAAAAUUGCUCUCUAUUUCAUUAAUUAUAAGUAAAUCUAAAAGGUUUGGGGAAGCUAACGUGCAUAUAAUACAUUGUGGAUUCUUUUAUAUGGACUAUUUACAAUGCCUUUUUUUAUCUUUUUUUUUAUUUAGAUCUUAUUGGACUAAAUUGUAGGUCAAUUAAGGCUAAUUUAUCAGGGAAAUAAGAGAUUGAAAGUCAGGGGACUAAAAUGAAAAAAAAGAUGAAAUGAAUGAUUUUUUAGAAUUUUAGGGUGAAAAAUCUAUUUUUCACUCAAAAACAAAACCAAUAAAAGAUAUUUUUUUUUAAUUCUUUUUUGAUAUUAUUGUUUUUUCAAUUUCAUUAUUUGACAACUGAUUUAUUGAAAUUUAGACUUUGUGGUUUUUCCAAGUUCAAUGUUUUUUAUUAGAUGACUUGCGUCACAAGUUUUAUAAGCUAACACAGGUUUACAUUGUUCUUUUUUGUUUUUUUAUCUCAAUACUCAGCAUUUUUUUAAAAAUAGAAUUCAUGGUUUAAUUUGUUUAUUUUUUUAUAGGGUUAUCCCGAUCUCAUAACCUGACUUAUGUGUUUAGCGGGUUAACCCGAGUGGACUCACUCUUUUUUUAAUUAUUAUUUUUUGUUCUUUUUAUCCGUUAAUCUUAUUGAUUUUUUUUAAAAGAAAUUUAUUAUUCAAUAUUUGAUUUGUUGAGAAUUUACCUUCAUGAUUUUUUCUUAUGUGGUGCUUCUGAUCAAAUAUCGUGGUACAAAGAUUGACAUCAAUUUUUUUUUUUUACUUAUUUUUUCAUUCAACAUUGAUUUUUUAAGAAUUGCAUCAAAUGAUUUUUUUUGUUUUACUUUCUGUCGUGUUAUCUGGAUCUCAUUACUUGAUCCGUAGAUUUAACGGGUUGACUCGAUUGGCUCAGACUUUUUUUUGGCUUAUAAUUACUUUUUUUUAACCAUUAUGUAUGUUUUAUUUUUUUUUUAAUUUUAUCUUUCAACAUUUGAUAGUUAAAUAUUAGACUUCAAGGUUUUUUCAAAUUUGUUGCUUCUAGUCAAAUGAUCAGCGUCACAGGCUUAACAGAUUAACACGAGUUGAUAAUUUUUUUAGCUUAUUUUUUUUUUUAUCAUUCAACUUUAGUUUUUUUAUUAAAUAUUGGUUUUUCCCCUUCUUUAAAAAGCAAUUGCGUAGCGUAGCCUAAACAUAAUUGUUUUUCUUAAUUUUCUUUUCCAACAUGUGGUAUGUUCAUGUGGUAGAACAUGGGUCACACACCUAAUUCAAUUCUAUUCCUAAACAAAUUUAGAUCCCAUAAUUCACAAUAAUUUUAUUUAAUCAAUUAUACUUAGUAGUUUUCAACAUCAAGCAAUACUAAGCUCGAAAUAAUCCCUUAAAAUAUAUAGAAAAAAUGCCAUUUUUAAUUAACAAGUGAUCAUAAUGGAGUAGGCAUAUAUUAGGAGUCACAUCUAGUUACAAUUUUGUGACUGAAGAGACAAAAACAAAUUAAAGGAGACAAAUGAGAUAUCUCUCAGUGCUUUUUAUUUAAAAAAUACAGAAAUUUAUUACAAAAUUUUUAUGUAGACAAAUUUAUUACAUGGCUUCAAUGCUCUUAUUUAAAAAAUAUAAAAAUUCACUACAAAAUUAUAAACAAAUUUAUUUUAUAUCUUCAUCUUUAUAUACGUUUUUAUUUUUUCUUUCUUGAAACAUUAACAAAACACACCUUUAUGAGUUUUCUUAUAACGUUAUAUUAUUAUAUAGUGAAUCGCUUACAUUUAAUAACUAAUUUUUUUUAAGAACAUGAUUUCAUUAGAGAGAAUCUCUCGAUAGAAUUAAUAUUAAUUUUAAAAAAUAACAAUACUCCCUGCGACUCGGAGAUUUUCCUGAUGAUGUUGCAACUAGAAGAUUUUGGGAAAAAUAAUGAAAUUAGUGUUGUGUUGUGCAAUGGAAAGCCAUGAAUGAAUGAUAAAGUAUGUAUGUAAUAUGCAUAGGUGCAUGGUGGUUAGCAGGAACAAUUUUGUAUUCAGUUUGUUCGUGCUACUUUGUUGAAAAUUAUUAAAUUAUAUUUUCUCUAUUUAAUUUGUUUGUUUAAUUACUUUUGAUCUUCCUAAUGGAUUACAAGUCAAGAGUAGGUAAAACCAGGGAGACAAACAGCAAAUAAAUUUAAGGUCUUUUCAGAAUCCUUUACAGAAACAUCCAACAAUGGAGGACAAGCUAAGGAUCUCAAUUUUAGUUGGUGCAAAUUGGAAGAUAAUCAUAAAGUGCAAGAAUUCCUGACUUUCUUGGUGAGGCAGUGUCGAAUGCGCGUGAAUCUUUGAAAAAACAAUAGGGAUAAAGUGGAAAAGGAAAAAUCAAACUGAAGUAGACCUGACGUAUGAUUUUUUUUUAAUGAUCCAAAGAACAUUAAAGUUUGGUUAAUUAAAUUAAUUAAAGUGAAAAAUGAAAUGGGAUAUUCUCUCUUUCAGUAAACUGCUGUUUGUUUCCUCCACCACAAGAAACUUCGUUUCCCUACUGGUCAAAUCUGUUCAAUAUUUUGUUUCAAUAUAGUAUUAUUAUCUCUAGAUAAGUUUUCGGACUCCAUUAUCACCUUUAUCCUUUAUAUAUAUAUAUAUAUAUAUAUAUAUAUAUAUAUAUAUAUAUAUAUAUAAAGUUUUCGUAGUUUGGAUUUUGUGAUCGCAAAAUAUAUCCCUUCCUUGAGUAAAAAAAUAGUAACCCUCUUGGAUUUAUCACUGUUUUCUCCUGGUAAAACCUUAAUUUAUUCGCUUUAGAUAUGGGGAAAGUACUGUUGAUCUUCAUUAGCAGGAUUAAAAUUAUGUCAUGAGAUUAAAAUCUUACUAACAAUCCAGGAUUAAUUAAUAGAGGACAUAAAACAAAUUGAUAUAUACUAUAAUAUUUAAUAAUCUAAAAUCAAGAAGGAAUGCAUGCUGGAAGUUUACUACGAAAAAGAUUUUCCAACCACCAAAAUCUUGCAGACCCAUGCCGUGGACCAGAAGGUGAGCCUAUUAUGUGGGGUACGUGGUGUUCCCUAAAUCCAUAAAUGAUGUGGAAUUCUAACGUACGUGUUUAUCAUUUCUUCAGGUUGCUGCACGUCGGCUCUCCGGGAUGGUGUGGUGCACUUCUCUGGAUGGAGCUAUGGAAAUCCACCACUCCAUGCAGGGUUAAAUUUCAACGGGAUUAUACUCCAGCAUCCAUAGGCAUAUAUCCUUGCAAGAAAAUGCUCUAAUAUGAUCAUUAAUACUGGAAUAGCACUGGCCACUCCUGCAGUACUGGACCAUCAAAUAGUAUGGCGAGCGUUAAUUAGCUUUGCUAAAGGCACAACAACGACGGAAUACACGACGGUACUGUCACCAAAUACAUCAGCUAGCGACUCCACGUACACCGACAAGUAUAUAUGAUAGUAACAAUUACCCUAUGGCAAGAUGUGUCACUGUGGACUCCUAGCUACGAUAUCAGCAACGGUGUUGUUUUCAAUUUACGCAAUUCAUUGAUAGAAAUCACUGGAAAAUUCUCUCAUUCGUUAUGAAGCUAUGGGAAUCUUUCAGUAGAUUCAUUAAUUAGAUAAGGAAAAAAAACCUUUUUGACUCCCAGAAUUUGAUAAACGUAACCGAUCAGUGAAGGCAUCUAAUAUUUCCCAAUUUCCAUGCCCUUGUGGGGUCUCUGGCACGUUAGCCUGGCUACCAGUAUCGCAGUCAACACAAAGGAUAUUGUCAUGCAGAGACUUGGGGUUGGGGGUAGGGAAAAUCCCUUGCUUUUGCUUCCUACCAUACCUUGUGGGCUGUUUGAACUUUUGAACGUUUUGAUUUCUUGAUUUGGUCUCGCAAGUGGAUAAAUCGGGACCCUGAAAUCAUGGAAUUCAGUGGUAAUUAAGAUCCGUGACCAAGUCAAUGGACGGCAUAAAAUUUUGGAUAAAAGAGCUAUAUCCUAAUGGCAGAAUCUAGCCACAGCAAAAGAUAGCAAGUACUAUAUAAAAAGAACACCAAUUAUGGCAUUUUAACAUGAUCACCAUAGUUGGAAAGAUAUGAUAAUCAACACUUAUUGAGCAACUUUUGUAGUACGCAGCAUGUGUAGUGUUUCCAGAAUCUAUAGCAAUGAUGAUUCAUGGGAUAAAGGUUUACGCGUUUUAUGCUUCCACUUUGCAAAAUUAUUUAUGAUCACGGGAUUGAUCUGAUAUCGACCUAUGAUGCAACUAUUGAAUCAUUUCAUAUCUUCUUUGCCACUAUCCUUUUGGUUUUGUAGUUUUCCGGUGUAGUGAUCCCAGCUAAGUUUUACAGCAAAUCAAGUAAAAAUUAAUAUAAUUAAGUUUAGUUAAUUUCACAAGUUAAUUCAAUUAAUUCAAUCAAAAUUUAAAAGAAAUAUGGGUUUGAUUUCCUAGUUUUUUUAAAAAAAAUUUAUUAGAAAAAUAUUAAAAUAACUAAAUUUAAAUUUACUUGAAUCAAUUUAGAUUAAUCUAUUUAAUUUAUAACCCGAAUCUUAAUCCAAUAAGAGCCAGAGCAAGAUUUAAUAAACAUACCACUUCCUUAACAAUUGAUUGUUGGAUCUUAUAGCAAUAUUUUCGUCUGUAACCAAAGAAAGAAAUAUCUUUCUUAAUAGUUUUUAAUUUACGAUCAAAACUGUCAAACAUCCAUUAUUGAAAUAAAAAAAUGUCAUCACUGUGCAAAAACAAAUAAUUAUUUUUCUAUUUUUGUUGGUGAUCAUGUAUAUAUAGUGGCAACAAACUAGCUAGCACGCUGUGUUUUAUGUGAAUUUUUUUUUCUACUAUGAAGGAACCCCAUGGCCAUGGACGUCCAAGUGGCAUCUCAACAUUUGUAAGGAAAGAGGUGUCGGCCUCAUGGCUACCAAAAGCAGUUCCAAAUGGACGGCAUGGCCAUGGUCCGUAAGGCCUCUCACCAUUUGUAAGGAAAGAGCUGUCUGUGUCUCUCUCUUUAUGACACUGUCAAAAUCCUGUAAUGUUGUCACGAAAUGACUGCUUUCUAACGACUAGGACCUCUCCAUUUUGUCUUGUCUCAGGAACAUUUCUGCGUUUAUAACGAGGAAGUUGGCCAUCAGAUCUCUCCUUUUGCCAACCAGAACCUGAAAGGAUUCUGUAUAUUCUAAAUUAAAGACAAAUUUCAUAUUCGAUUCUGGUGUUUGUAAUAAUAUGCUAAGCAUUGAAAAGUAAAGAUUCUCACAUUUUCUUUCAUUAUAUCUCAUAUUACUUGAUGAAAUUAAACAGAAAAAAAGGGGUGUAAAGUUUGAAAAAUCAAUGAUUCAUGGAAAAGCUUCUCCAUGUUAGACCCAUCAGGCCUAAAUCUCUUCAGUAGGGCUUAGUUGUGGCUGAAAAAUGUAUAUACCUAAAGUUUUGGGUUAACUUUUCUCUUCGAGCCCAAUAAGCUUGAAAAAUGAUGGCCCAAAUACAUCAUUAACAGAAGUAAACUCAAGAGUCCAUCAUCCCUAGAAGCAAGGCUAAAAUGGCAAAGGAUUUAGGGCUUUAGUUAGAGUUGAUUUGAAUGUUUUAUACUUUUAGUUAUAAAUAUAUUAAAAUAAUAUAUUUUUUAAUUUUUAAAAUUUAUUUUUAACAUCAAAACUAUAUAAAAAUAUAAAAUUUUUGUUUUUAAAAAAUACUUUACAUCACAAAAACAAAUGAGAUGCCUUAAUGGUGUUUUAGACUUUCUACUAAUUUUUUUUUUUUUUUUUUAUCAUAGAGUUCUGCCACGUAAAAGAAGAAAAGAACUUGCAACUUUCAAUAUUGACAGCAAUCCUGUUGACGACUAGCAAGUUCCUUUCUUCUUUUGUUUUUUUGGCAAGGCAACUCAGUGAGUUGCAUAAGAAAUCUCGAAGGUCAUAUGAGAUUUCCUGCCAUACUAUGGGCCACCCAAUCUUCCGUAUUACAUGGUUUGUGGUUCAAAUGGGAGUCUGCAAAAAAAUUAAUUUUUUUUACUUAAAAUUAUUAUUAUUUUUAAAUAAUUUUGAUGUAUUGAUGUUAAAAAUAAAUUUUAAAAAAUAAAAAAAUAUUAUUUUAAUAUAUUUCUAAAAAAACAUUUUAAAAAUAACCCUAUCAUACUUCUAAUCUUUAUAAUAAUGUUUUCAAAAUCAAUUGUUUCGGAUCUGGGUUGUUUUGAAUUUUGAUUGUGGUGAGGCAUGAAAUUUGGAUUCUUAUACAAAACCUGCUAGAGUCUACCUUGCCCAAACCCUCUCCGCAUCCCAAGUCGCCUACUAUUGGUAUACCAAUUAUGCUGAUACACUGAUCAAGAAACUAUGACAGUGCAAAAAAUAAUCAAUGAAUGACAGUUAUGUAUGCUUGCAACUCAAUCAUUUCUUCUUCCUCUGCUCUCCAGUACGAGCCAUCUCCUGCAAAACCGAGUUGCAGAAAUGUUCAUCUUCUUUUUUGAAAAAGAAAACUCCCAUAAAUGUUAUCACAAAGGAUUGAUAUGGUAAAACAGUAAGCGACUUGCCAUGCGUCCUCUCUUGAUGAACUAGUUGUGUAUUUCUUUUUCAGUGGAUUGGCCACUCACCCCUUCUUAGUGGAUUGAUAGCCUAUCGAUCCUCCUGAAUCGGUCGUCCAUCCCUCUUCUACGGGUUGACCAUGUGUUCCUCUCAGUGGACCAGCCAUGUGUCUCUCCUCCAUGGAUUAACCAUGCAUCCCCUGAACUGGUCGUUUAUCCCUCCGACGAACUUAUGAUGUGUCUCUUCUCAAUAACCAAUCGUGCAUCCCCUCUCAUCGGACUAAUCAUGCGUUCCUCGUCAAGUCUUGUACUCUUGAUCAGGGAUGGACGAGCAGCACACCCCUACUAGAUAUGGACAGCAUAUAUUAAACAUAUCUGUUCUUGAGUCACCAACGUGCCAAGGAGACAAAUAAUGUUUGCCAUGAACAUCAUCUUGUGUCCAGUACACUGUCAUCCUCUAAAUUUGACCAUACAGUCACUUCUUACAAAAAGCAAAGCCCGUACCUUGAAGAUUAGCUUUACAGUAGUUCCAUUUAUCUUACGGGAUCGUGUUCUUUAGUUUAAAAUUGCAUACCUUACGCAAAUCAUCACCUUUUCACUUAAUCUACAACGAACUGAUCACAAGACUAAAAAAAUUAAUGAUCUUGAGUCUCGAGGUUAUGGGCCUCCCUUGAUCUCCCAAUCUCAUUCUUUUUGUACUUCUUCCACCACCUUUUUUCUCAAGCUUUGCUCUUCAUAUAUCUCUUAAAUCUUUUUUUCCUCCAUCAUCAAUGCCAGCUUAAACAAUGGAGGAUCUCUUAUCAUUUCAAGGAAUUUUCCUUUGUUUCGCAAGUCUUUCUUUGUAUAAAAGCUCCAAUUUUUCUGCGGUUCUAGUCUACAAGCACUCACAAUGGAGGUUUUUAUACAACCUCAUCAUACUAUUUUCAGAACUGGAUCAUUAUAACUUGACCUUAACUUUAACCCGCCAGGUUCGAAUUAUAGGUAUAAGAGUUUUUUUUUUCCUCGCAAGAGAAAAAAUUCAACUAUUAUUAUAGAUUUACAUACAUGUCUAUGAAUUAUAAAUAUAAUAAGAAAGCUAAAACAGAAGGGAAAAAUAUUGUGGCUAUAGGUUCGGUUUACUAUUCAUCGCUUGUAAUUAUAUUUUUAUCUUUCUAAAAAAAAUCAAUGAACUUGUCUCUUAAAAAUAAUUUGAUCUUUGCAUAUAAUUUAUUAAUUAUUAUAAAAUUAUCUAAAGAUAACUGGAUCUUUUUAUAUUUUUUUACGCAGUUAAAUUAUGAAUUUAUGUGGAAACCAUACAAACAGUUCGUCGACUUGAAUCAAUAAACUAACAUUGCAUCUGGUGAAAUGAAACUCAUAAAAUAGCUUCAUUUACUCCAAAAAAGUUUAUAUCAUCUUCAUUAAAAAACGAAAGAAAAAGGGACAAAUUACUCCUCUUGGGAUUAAUUCCGUCAUGGGUAUGAAAAAUUUAUAUAUGAGUUUACAUUGAAUAUUUCUACUUCACAAUUUGAGACGAAACCCCCCCUCAACUCCACUAUAACUAGGCAUUAAUCGCUCAUUUUUUAUUUAAUUUAAUUUAUUUUUUUUGCCUUGAGAAGCAUAUAUUGCCUCAAAUUGAACGAAAUAAAAUAACAGGAAAGGGUUAAAAAUCAAACCAACCUUAAUUUGAAUAGCCUGUCAAAAUACAUUCAUCUACCCGUAGAUAUAUAUAUCAAUAUCUCUAGUUGGUGAAGGAGGCAGCCUUGAAGAAAAAUCCAUCAAACGAGAAUCACAACUACGAGUACCAUCAUCAUUUCCUUUACCUUCAUCAAAAUUCAAGGCAUAACUCGUAGCAUCAUAGUGAAAAUUCGCUGACAUAGUAUGACGUCUCCUAUGCCCACGACCAUGUCUAUGUCCAUGCUUCCCUAUACACGACAAAUAACUCGUCUUAUUACCCCUAAUAUCCCCAUGGGAUUCAGCAUUCAUCGCCUCUUGCACCGCAUAACGAUCAUGCUUCUGAUGAAUAUGUUUCUCCGAGUUAUUAAAUGUGACAUGAUGAUGGUGGUGGUGAUUGUGUUUUUGGAAGGAACAUAAUGUAGAUUUCAGCUUGUGUUUCAGAGAUGAAGAGGACGGAGAAUUAGGUUCGCUUAUUGAUGCCAUUAUGCUUUUGUGUGAGAGAAAGAUAGGAGAGGAAUAUAAAUCUUUUUUGCUUUUUUUUAGUAUUUAUAAGUGCUAUUGGUGCGGGGAGGUGGGAGCUAUCUAUAUUGAGAUUUGGAGGUUGAGGGGAAAUGUGAGAUCGUGAAGAAAUGAGGCUCUCUAGUGGUUGUUGUUGCCUGAUUUGGGGAGAUAUGGAGGAUUUUAUUUUAUUCUUCUUCUUUUUUUGCUCGAUGGGUUCAAAGUGCAUAUAGUAAACAAUUCAUUACCUAUACUUUGCAAAGUCUCCUUUUAAACCCCUAUAGAUUUAAACUCUUCGUUUUGAAUUUCUGUACAUUUAAGUAAUUAAUAGAUCACUUUUCAAGAGUGGAGUGACCUCAAAUAAAAUUAAAAAUAUGCUAAAAAAUAAUAUAAAUUAUAUUUUAGAAAUUAUAUUUUGAAGUCACAUCUAAAAAUUUAAGUUAUUUGAUUGAAUUCGUUAUUUAAUAUGGUAUCAUAUCUUUGUCGAUCAAGUAGUCAUGAUUUCGAAUCCCAUAAUUUUUAUUUUAUUUGAUAAAAAUUAAACAUAAAAUAAUGUAAGCUUAUGUAAAUUUCAAGCUCGAAGAAUUUUUAUUUGAAAAUGUAUGCUAGAGAAUAAUAUAAAACUAUUAUCGGGAUCUCAAAAAAACUAGAUGUAACUAGAUAUAACUCCUCUCUGUUUUUAUCACAAAAUUAAAGGCAUAUGAUAGAGCUUUUUAAAAAAAAAAAUUAAAAACCUUUUUUCCAAAUUGAUUAAUACAGUAAUAAAAAAAUAAAAAUGUAUUUUAUAUUUUAAGGGCCGCAUAGCAUGCAAAAUUACUGAGCUGAAGGGAUAUCAUGCAGGAGGAGUACAUAAUCUUUAUUUUAUCCCUCCAGUUUCUCUUAUGUUAUAUUUUGUAUCGGUAAACUACAAUAUAUAUAUAUAUAUAUAUAUAUAUAUAUAUAUAUUUUUUUUUUUAUCUCUGAGAGAAAGAAACCACAAGAAUGUGUUUUACUGCUGAAUUCGUUAAGAAUUCUAUAAUCUAAUUAUAUUUUAGGAGAACCUAAAUUAAUUUCCCUAACAUAAUCUAAAAAUAAUUUAAUUAACUUUGAUGGUAAUUAUUAAUGGAAAUAAAAAUAAAAAAGUUACUACUUCAAAUCCAAUACUAUCCCAUGAUUUGUUUUUUCUUUUUGAUGAUAAUUCUACUCAAUUUCAUUACAUCCUUUUGCUUUUAUUUCAUUAUAAAUUCCAUAUUUUCCAUUCAGCAGUUCACUCUGCUUAACUAAAUUAUAAUUUGCAAGUUACAUUUUCCUCUCACAAUUUCGCCCUAAUUAUUUAUAAUAAAUAAAAUCCGAUACCAAGCUUAUGUUUAUCUGAAAUAUUCUCCAAACUUACUAAAAAGGAAUAAUAUUUCCAACUUCAAAAAUCAUAAUCAAUUAAAAUAUUUAUUACGAAUAAUAAAUAUUCCACAACUUGCUCAUUCAAGAUUGAAUAUAUUUCCCAAAUAGAAUCCACUUUAUUAAGGUCAAAUUAGAUAAGAACCACCAAUACUAUAUUGUUCUGAGUAUUAAUGAGUUUUUUUUAAUUGGUUUUUUUAAAAAUAUAUUAAAAUAAUAUUUUUAUUUUAUUUUUUUAACUAAAAACAAACAGUGCCGAAGGUUAAAUCAAGUCUCGUCAGUUUUGUCCCUCACAAUUCACGAAGACACAUUGUUGUCUUCCUACGUGGGUUCUUGGGCCCCCAUUUCUAUACCCAAAAAAUCUAACAUAUUUUGACGAAAGAUGAGCCGGUCGGUAUCGCUAGCUGCCAAGUCUUGGAUGGCACCCAGCCUCUAUGAAUCAUGGCAGUCGUGACGACUAGUUCCUCACGAUUAUCAUUUAUGAAUUAAAUAAACCAUAUGUUUUAUCAAUUGGAUCUUAUAUUUUCAUCUGGGAAGUUUCAUUCACAGUAGGAAUUUAAAGCCAAUUACAAAUGCAACACUGUGGAAUACAAAAAUGGCAAAAUUGACAUUUUACAUUUCACUUUGAGGACUAAAUGCAAAAUAUCAAAAAUUAUGGAGCUUCGGUUGUCCCUUUUACCACUGAUUUCAGUUUGUCUCAGAGCAGUAAAAAGAACAAAGAAAAAAAUUGAAAUCUCAUUGCAUGGGAAUUUUUUUUUUAAAAAAAAUACAUUGUUAAGGUCUCUUCAUAUUUCAACAAGGUUACUUAGAUUAGAUUGUAGGUUUGACACGAUGAAUACUCGGGCUUGACAAUGUCAACUAUCUAGGUAAUUUAAAAGCAAACAUUGCUUGGGCCAACCCUUGGGUCACCAGAGCAUUAACUCAAUCUAUUUGAUCGGGUUUGAUAAUUAUGCCAACCUUAUUUUCAUAAAAACAGAAAUCCAAGCUUUUUUUUUUUGCCCCAAAUACCCUAUUUUCAUAAUUAGUAAAUAGAUAUGACUUAUGAAAUCAUUGUUAAGGCUACGUUGUGGGUCGAAUUAAUUUUUUUCAAUGUCAAAAAAUAUUUAGGUGUUGUUAAUGUGUUUGUAGCAAAAAAAAAAUUAAACUAUAUUGGAAUUGACUUGAUGUGACAUGAUCAACUUGGCAAAUACAAAGACAACCUGAAUGACAGAUAAAAAUAUAGUUUGACUAAAAAAAUCAAGACAAUAUCUUUUUUAAAAUAUUGAAGCGACAAUAUAUUAAAUUAACUCGGGUUAACCAGUUAAAUCGAUUACCCAGGUCAUAAGACCCUAAUAACCUUAUAGAAAGCAAAUUAAAAAAAAAUCAUUAAACCCAAAUCCCAAUCAACCCAAUGUUAAAGGAUGAAAUUGUAAAUAAAAUUUAAUUAAAAAACGAGAUGAUUCAACUCGGGUUAACCCGUCAAACUUGGAUCAUGAGACAAGAAUAACCUCAUAGAAAUUAAAUUGAAACAAAUUAUAAAACUCAAUUCACAAUCACCCAAAUAUUUAGGGGAUUAAAAAAUAAAUCAAUUAAAAAAAAACACAAAACCUCACCCGAGUCAAAACACCACCUGAGUCAACCGACUAAACCGGUGACCGGGUCAUGAGAGCAUGAUAACCUUAUAGAACACAAACAAAAAAAAAUUAUGAAACCUAAUUCAUUCAAUCCAAUAUUGAAAAAUAAAAUUAAAAAAAAAAACUUGAGUCAAUCGACCAAACCUAUGACUCGGAUCACAAGACCGUGAUAACCUUAUAGAACGCAAAUCAAAGUAGAUUAUAAAAGAUUAAUUUCCAAUCAACCCAAUAUUGAAGGAUGAAAUUUUAAAAAAUCAACUAAAAAGGACAAAAACAAAUUGAUUCAAACGGUUUAACCCACGACCUGGGUCAUAACCAAAGUAGAUUAUAAAGCUUAAUUUUCAAUUAACUCAAUAUUGAAGGAUGAGAUUUUAAAAAAAUAUCAACUAAAAAGAAUUUUUUUUUUUAUUCAAGCGGUUUAACCCACGACCCGAGUUAUAACCAAAGUAGACUAUAAAGUUUAAUUUUCAAUUAAUCCAAUUUUAAAAGAUGAGAUUUUUUUUUAAAAAUCAACUAAAAAGGACAAAAAAAAACUUGAUUCGAGUGGUUUAACAUACGACUUAGAUCAUAAGACCGUGAUAACUCAUAAAAAGUAAAUAAAAAAAAUUAUGAAGUUCAAUUCACAGUUCACUUAAUGUUGAUGGAUUAGAUUGGAAAAAAAUCAAAUAAAAAAAUAAUAAAAAUAACAUGAAUCAAUCUGAGUUAACCUGUUAAAUUCAGGUCAAGUGACGGGAUAACUCCAUAGAAAGAAAAUAAAAAAAAUUAUAAAGUUCAAUUCUUAAUAUUCAAUUAAAGAACAACAAAAAAAAAACAACUUAACCUGACUAACCCGUAAAACUCCUGAUCAUGAUCAUGAAAUCGAGAUAACUACAUAAAAAACAAAUCAAAAUAAAUUAUGAAUUCUAAUACUCAAUAACCACAAUGUUAAAAUUAAAAAAAAAACAUAUAUAUUAAUAAUUAACUAGUAAUAACCAUCUUCACUUACCUUCAAAAUAUUUAAAAGUACAUAUCAAUUGACCAAGAAUUCUAGACCCAUAUUGCCCAAACUUUACCCAUUUCUUCAGCAAGAACUUUAUAUAUAUAUAUAUAUAUAUAUAUAUAUAUAUAUAUAUAUAUAUAUAUAUAUAUAUAUAACCGACAGGUACCUUAUAGAAAGCAGAAGGAGAUUUUUCUCAAAAAGAAAAAAAGCAAGUCAGGUGGCUAUAUUUUGUCAAAUAGUGAACGAUUCAUGCAUAUGUCAUGACUUUAUAUAUCAAUUGAAGGGCCUGUAAUGGCAACUGGAAAGAUGGUGCGAUCUGCCCAUUUGGGGCCAUCAGAACUUUCUAAUAGUUCAUACACUUUAUAUUUUAUUUGAUGCACUAAUACAUUGUCUCAAUUAAUUCUAUGGUCGUGUAAAUUAAGCUAUAUGAUAAUUUAAAUCUAUAUAUUGCUUCACAUGAUACGGAAUAAUAUUGUCCACAUCUUCUUUUGUAGUGGGGUGAUAAACCAUGCACUAUGAUCACUUGAACUGUUUUUGGAUUUUCUUAACUCUUUUUUAUUGUUUAUUAUUAGCACUAAUCUUGCAAGUUUUGUCCCUUACCCUCUUAAUUACGUGUUUCAGAACUAAUGCUAUUGCCUUCCCAAAUAAAUGGUUUUUUUUUUUAAUUCAAUUUAUUCUCCAAACUUUUGGGGUGAUAUUGAGAUUCCUUAUAAAUUUCAUCGAUAAAAUUGAGAUUUACAACAUCUUUUCAGUUUCAAUGAUCGACAUAAAUGGACGGGAGGGGACUAAAAUGAAAGUUGUGGAGGCUGAUUUUAGAACCCUGUGAACCUUAGGGGCCAAAUUAAAUUUUACCCUUGGUUUGAUGGAGUCAUGGGACCACAGUCUCGGUGCUAUGAAGCUUCCUUACCUACUUCCUCAUCGUCUUUCUGUAUUCUGUUCAUAUCUUUUGCUCUUUGAUUUUUCAAACCAUAGUUUCUAGGAAGGUGACUGCCAAUGAUGGAAAAAGAUUUUCUUGUAAAAAAAAAUACACCUUUAAAUGUCAUCUACCCUCUUUUGUCUUCCACCGAACGUAUUUUGGGUUCUUAUUUGAAUUAAUAUUUUUAUAUUUUUGAAUUGUUUUAUAUACUAAUAUUAAAAAUAAAAUUUUAAAAAUAAAAAAAUUAUUUUAAUAUAUUUUCUAAUGUAAAAACAGUUGCAUUUAUUAAUAGAUACCGAAUUCAGGUUUUCUAUUUUUCCCAUUUCUUUAAUAUAGAAUACCAAGUCUCAAUACUUGCUUCCCUCUCCUUGUUUUAGGCUGCUCGAAGGACCAGGCAUAGAAAUAAUAGACGUAGUUUUUGUUUCUUAAUUUGAGGAAAAUUUUGUUUCUUGGGGUGGUUUAGCAAUGGCUGGUAUGUUGCCUGGUGUUGAAUGUGCUCGAAGGAGGAGGUUCCAUCAAAGCGGAGAUUCACUUGGUGCCCCAGCACACGGCUGGUCCAGAAAGCCAUCUUUUUGUUUGUACACAAGCAGCCAUGAAAGUUAUCAUGGCUCCGUCUCUUCUCUGGUAUCUCUCUCUAUCUAAAGAUUCUCUUUUCAUUUCUUCUGUUUUUGGGAGUUGUUGCUGAGAUCUUCUUUUUCUCUUUUGAUUUGGAUGAUUGAGAAGCAAAAGCAAAAGCAAAGGAGCGUAUCAAGCCAGGCAUACGAGGAUGAGAAGCUGGGAGGAGUGGCAAGAGAAGCCAAGGAAAGAUUAGAUGAGAGGCUAAGAUUGCAAAAGAAGAAGACAGCAGAAACCACAAGGUAAAUAAUGGCUUCCCUAUUUCUACCAGGCGGCGCGUAUUAGUACAAUCCAGAUGGUCCUUGCUAAUAUGCAACAUGCCUGGCAUCCAAAAUACGUCAUCAAAUCUCGUACUCAAAUCAGUUCCCAUACUUAUGUUCUAGAUUGAUUUUUGUCCAAUUUAGGCACAAAAGCACAGGAAACCUGAGAGAUGUAGAUGGCAGAUCAAUGGUACUAGGGGAGUUACAGAUGGAGGUGUAUGGUACGAAGAGGAGUGGGUCUAAGAGGUUCAAUUGGGCCAAACUGAGCUGGAAAGCUGCUGACCAAGACGAGUGCACCAUCUGCCUCGAUCGGUUCAAGUCUGGUGAGACCCUGGUGCACCUUCCCUGUGCACACAGGUACCACCCCAGGUGUUUGGUGCCAUGGCUAGAAAACAAUGGCCAUUGUCCUUGUUGCAGGAUGGAAAUACGUGUUGAACUCUCCUAGGCGCUCUCUUCUUUUGUUCUUUUUGUAGAUACCAAUUGGGAUUUCGGGAGCAACCUUGUCUUCUGCAAGAGUGAUUUGGUGUACCAAGACAAGUUAUGCUAUUAUCUUCUCCGUGUGUUUGCAUUUUACUCAUCUCUAAUUUUCCAUCUUGGCAAUGGAGAUUCUGCAGAAGUCUUUAGAAAAUACUAGAUUCUAUAAUAAUUUUAUUAUUUUUAGAAAAGAGUUAUUUUCCAAUCCAUCCCUAAACACUAAAAACAAUUUCCAUGUAAAAUUUCCAUGGUACAGGUCGAAUAUUAAAAGGACAGCCUAGCUGCUCAUAUUCCCUGAUGAGAUGGGUGGUCGUCUUCUUUUAUCAAUGAUUGCCAUGUAAAACAAAACAUGGUGAAAGUUUGAGUGAGAAGAGCUGUGAUCUAUAGCAGCAAGUGAUUCUCAUUGCUCUUACUAUCACUGUCUGUCCAUCCAUUCUUUAGUCCCACUCCUCACUCAGUUUCAAAUAAUGCACCUCUGCUGUCUAUAAAGUGGGCCAUUAAAUGUUGAAUCUAAUUUAUGGUCAUGAUAGUAAUUAUUUUUUGUAAAGUAUUUUUUAUUUGAAAAUAUAUAAAAAAAAUAUUUUUUUUUAUUUUUUUAAAUUUAUUUUUAACACCAACACAUUAAAAUAAUUCAAAAACACUAAAAAAAUUAAUUCAAAAUAAAAAAAAUUCAAAAUCUUUACAAAAUCUUUACAAUUUUUUUUAAUAUAAAAAAGAUGCUAAAGCGAUCUAAAAAUUAAGAGGGUUAUUGAUCUUAUUGAGUUUAAUAAACUUGACUAAUUUAAAUAAUUCAAAUAAAAAAAAUACAAUGUUAAUAAAUAGACUUAAAAAAAAAGGUUUAAAAAAGCCGACACGAGCCCAUCCAGGUUAGCAUGCUAAAUAUGCGACUUACUCAUGAUACCAAGGUAACCUCGUUGAAAGCAAACUAAAUAAAACUUAAAUUUCAAUUACCAAAUAACUCAAAGUUAAAUGGCGAAACUAGAAAAAAAAAUUAAAAAGCAAUGAAAAAAAUUUAUUCGAGUCAAUCCGGGUUAACUCGCUAACCUUGCAAUCGUAGGCAUAGGAUUGAGAUAAUCCCAUAAAAAGGAAAGUGGAAAAAAAAAAGCAAGAAGAUUAAAUCCAAAUAAAUCAAAUGUUGAAUGAUGAAAUUGAAAAAAAAAAGAUCUGAAAAAAACCAAAGUCAACCUAUGUUAACUUUUGAAACUUGUGAUUUUAGUCAUGAGCUCGGAACUAACCCCAUAAAAGGCAAACCAUAAAAAAAUAAUAAAGCAAAAUCGUCAAUCAAUAAAAUAUUGAAGGAUGAAAUUGAAAAACAAAUGAAAUUAAAAAAGGAUAAGAAGGAAAUAAAAUAACAAUAAAAAGAAUGAGGACCAAAUUUGACAUAAAAAUAAAUGAAAAUUAAAUGUUGAAGGAUGUAAUUGGAAAACAAACUUAAUUAGAAAAUGCUAAAAAGCAAUCAAAAGAACAAGAACCUAAUUUAAUUUAGAAACUAAGUGAAAUCAAAUGACAAGGGGAGAAAUGGAAGAAAAAAUUAUAAAAAAAAACAAAAACAAAACAAAUAGUAAUCAAGAGAAUGAUGACCAACUUGGAUAAAAAAAAUAAAAUUACCAGACACCUUUAUGUUUUAGUAAAGAGAAGAGAGAGAGAAGAGGGGGAGAAGGAAAAAAUGCAUUAGAAUUCAGCCGUUGCAUUGUUGUAUACACGCACCUGACUAUCAUGAAGACCAUGUCCGGACACUUACAAUAUUGUUGCGGAAGGUGAUGUUAACUACUAGACGACGUUGCAUACGUCAUCCAAAGAGCACAAGCAUUGUCCAUGCGCGGAUGCUUAUAAUACACACGUCAUCCAAUUUUUUAUUAAUAUUUAUUUUAAUUACAUUACCAAGUUAUCUUUAAGUGAACCUGAUUAUAAACAAAAAAAAAAAACUAAAAAGAUAAAAAACAACUUGAGAGCUACCUUAGUAUUUUUCUGAUUUAAAAUAAUUAAUUUAUUUAAUUAUGCUAAAAAGAAGGACAAGAUUAAAAAGCCCAUUAACAUAGUUUUUAUUUUAUUUAUCUUUUGCUUUUAAGAGAUUAAGUCAUUUUAUUUUAAAAAAAUAUAAAAAUACUAAUUUUUCUGAAUCAUACUGACCAAUAAGUCACGAGGAAUUCUAUAUUAUUUUUUUAAAAAAAUGAUUUUUAGGAAAUAAUAAAUUUUCAUAUCGACUUUUCUUUUGAUCAAAUUACUAGAACGAUGCAAGAAAGAUAAGCCACAUGUGGGACCCGAAGAUUAUCAACGGAAAAUGCAAGUCAUAUUUGGAAAACGACAUCGUGUUACUCCACUAAUUCUUGUCCACCUCUUACUCCACCUCGCUUUGCUUGCCUUCUCCUCCAACGGCUAGUUCCUAGUGACCGUUUCACAGCCCAAAAAUUCAAACUUGAAGAACCCUGAAUAAAGAAAAACACCACACAGAAACAAAAAAGAAUAAACUGAAACACUUGAAAAAAUCAUCAUUCAAAUCACAACAGCUCUAGCACCCCAUAAAAAUCAUAAUUCUUGGCUAGCUUUUAUUCACUUGUUCAAAUCGAGAAACAAAGAAAAGAUCAUCAAAAAUGGUAUACACAUACACACCAGCAUACUACUCUACUCUCCAUGACUCAAUUACCUCUAUUUGCAAGACAAUCUUGCCUUUUUCCUUUAAGAAAAAGAGGUUGACCUCGGCGGAGCACAGGCUCUCAAAGCUGCAGUCUGAUAACUUGAAGUGGCAGCAAGACUCAUUCCAUCAAAUAUUGAAUUUGAUGGGGUUGCAUAAAGAAGGUAUUUUAGCUGAGAAUGAGGUUUCUGCUUUCAAGACUCAUUUGCUUGAAACCCUUAUUGCUUCUCCACUUGAACAUGAACAAGCAGUCAUUUUAAGAGAUAAAUUGGUCUUCUUGCAGGUGAAUUUCUAAUUUUUAGAACCUGGGUUUGAUUUAUUUCAAAAUUUUCUCUUUGGACAAUCAAAUGGAACCAAUUUUUGUUUAUUUUUUUUUUGUUUGUUUUGGACAUUUUGUAGGAGUUGCUUUAUGCAAAAUGUAUAUCAGAAGAUGAGUACCAUUCAUCAAAGAGACCUUUGUUACAGAGGCUAGCAGUACAAGGAGCAGAAAUUGAGUCAAGAGAUGUUAUUGUUGCUGGUCCAAAAGACACAAAAGAGAAGAUAGAAGAGGAGUGGUCGGUUAUUGAUUUAAAAGAUGAGAAAAGGUUGAUUGGUAAAGAAACUUUACAGUCCAUAAAUAGAUCAAAGCCUAACUCAGCGAUGAAGCAAAUCAAAGGAGCAGCCUCCGUUUUUGGCUUUGGAUCAGAUCACAAGCUGAGCAAACACAAAGAAGAAAAGAGUAUUUUUGAAAUUGAAGCAAGAUUGCCCUCCUCUGGCCAUGUUAGUAACGAGAGAGAGAACCCACUUUGGGAUAGUCAUUUGAAGGAUAAGGAAAGUGAAACCAAAUCAAUUCUUAUGCAAGCAAGCUUACCAAAUGAAUCUGUAAAAGAAAGCGCAAGCAAUGAUAAGCCCAAGAGGAAACCCUUCAAGACUUUGUUUCGACAGGAGCAAAGAGAGGGAGAUGGUGGUGGUGGUGGUGGUGGUGCUAAUGGUUUUAAUUGUGAGGAGAAACCUUCAAAAUCAGCAAAAAAGCCUUGGGGUUUUGAUGGUUUUAAGAAAUGGAAGAAAAAUGAUUCAGAUGGUGAGACUGCUCCUCUGCCUCUUAACAAUGAAAGAUCUGACAGUGAGGCUUAUUCAGGAUCUUGCAACCUUGUUAAUAGUCCCAUUGGAGAGGGACCAGACACUAAGCAGAUAAAGAAGAAACUGCAUUCUAAUGGUUCUUCUUCAGAUUUUUUCAUUGAUAAGGUUCAGUCUAGACAAUAUAUAUAACUUUGUUUCUAAAUCUUUAUCCUUCAACCUUAACUUAUGCCUUUGUCUAUCUGUUGUUAAUUAUACAGGUUUUAGGGGACAAGAUAAAGAAGGAGCUUUCAAAAAUUCAAACAGAACUCUGCACAACAAACCCUAGUCUUAAAUUUUCGUAAGCUUUUUUUUACUGAUCAGAUGAUUUUGAAGUAGUUGUCUUUGUGUGUUUUUAUAAUCAAUUAAUCACUUGCUUUUGUAUUGCAUUGUGCUUGUUAUUUGUGGUUCUAUUAGUGAUGAUCAAAUUGAAGCAAUUUCCACCAAGCUUCCUGUUGACAAGGCUGACCUGAAAAAGUUCUUCCCCAAGUAAGAAAACAACAGCUUUCUUUCUUUUACCUAUCUCAAUUUAAUGUUUGUUUCCUCGCAGCAUAUUUGAUCUAUUGAUCUGCCAAAAACCGUAGCUAUUGCAAUUAAUCAUAGGCAUUCUUGCUACAGCAUAUCAAACUUAUUAUUUGGAUCCUCACAUGAACUACAAAAAUGUUGUGUUCUAAGGUCAUGGUGCGAUCGGUAUGGUGAUGUUGUACUGGAUGUGGUGAAGAAAGAGUUCAAGGAUCAUGUUGGAGAGAUGGAGAACAUGAGAAAUGCUGCAAGAGAAAAACAUCACAACAAUUCAAUGCGAUGGACAACAUUUGAAGAUGAAGACGAAAAUUGUCACCCAAAUCUUUUUUCUCAACAGGAUCAUUCAUUUCCAAAGAAGCAACAAAAUUUCACUGCCAAGAAUGAUCAGAGCGCCUAUACUAAUCCCUUCUCCCAUGACUACUCUGAAAGCAAUGGGAAUAAGCUUAGGACUGAAUCAUUCCAGAAUCCCUUUUGGAUCCCAAGGCAACAAUAUUAGUGAUAUGGGAGUUUCUAUGCUUGAUAAGCAAGCGGUAUUCUUGUUUUUUGUUUGCUUGUAUUCUAUUGUAAUUCUGGUUAUGAACUCUGACAGAAGAACAAUGUUGUUCUUCUGGAUUUUAAACCCCCUUUUGUUCUGCUGGGUUUCAUCAAACCCAUGCAAGAAGAAUGUAAACGUUUUUAUCUUCCUCAGCAGCUAUAAAAGUUUUUAAUCCCCCCCAAGCAUUACUGAUGAUAGAUAGCCAUUGAAGGUUUUUCAAUGGGGAUCAUGGGAUUUCCAACUAAUCCAAGACAACCUAGUUUUAGUUGCAUCAUAUUUGGGUUUCCAACUUGGGAUUAUUUAUGAUGUAUUUGUUUUAACAAGGCAACAGAAGCAUAACAUGGAGCUCAAGAAUCCAAUCUUAUAUACCGUAUAGCUUUAUGUAAGAUCUAUACUCUACAGAAUCCAAUCUUCAGGGAACCAUAUUACAAGAGAUGGAAUUUAUAUAACACUAUAUACAAUUAUAUUUACAAUGCAAUCAAGUAGAAGUAAUUUCUGGAUUUGGUAUUGAAGGCUCGCUGGCACCACCCUCGCGGACAUCUCCUCGACAAAGCGGGCAUACCCUGUAAAAUACCAUCAGAGGGGAGAGGAGGGGGGAAGAAGGAUGUGACAAAAAUUUCACACCAGAGAAGGAAAAAAAAUGAUUAUGAAUACGGUUUAAGAAGAAUGAAAACAUAAGCAGCAAAAACGCAGGUGGGUGGCAAUAACAAUACCCAUGUAUUUCUUUGAGCCAUUUAUCCACACAAACCAUGUGAUAUUCGUGGUGGCAGGGAAGAACUCUUAUUUUGUCACCUUCCUCAUACUCGGCCAGGCAAAUGUAACACCUGUCAGUCAGAAAGUUAUUACCAAACACAGUCCAAAAGACGACAAGUUUAUAUUAGUGCAAACCAAGUAAUGAAACACCUUGAACUCCAAGUUCCCCACCACUUUUACACGCGAUAACACUCAUGUGCAAGUAUAAUACCUGGCUUAUUCUAGAGUACAUGCAUGUUCACACCACAAAAUUUAAAUCAAUGAGAAACUUACUGUUCAUCCUCAUCAUUGCCCUUGACUCUGUCCAACUUUUUGUGAUUCUUAAGAGGGAAAGAGUCAACAACUGAUUCAGGGGCAGGGAGCGACAUCAUUGAUAGAGAAAGUGACACAGGCUGACGAUGGAUUUCAUCCAAAACCUGCAGCUUAAACAUGACACCAGAACUUAGUAGCAACAUAAUGCAGGCCAAGAAGUGUAUAAAUCAUUGUAAAACUGCCUAGCACAGAUUUCAUGGUCAAAGCAACUCCCUUAUCAUGAAUUUGAUGGUGGCUUCCACACCUCUUUAAGAACCUCUACAUAGAAAGACAGCUGAGCAGUUUCAAAAAACCUACUGCUAGAUCUUAGUCUUGUUAGCGUUAAGACAUAAUCACAGGUAAUAUCUAAAUGCAAGCCACCCUAGUGUAUAUUUUUCCAGGCAAAGUAAAAAGGGUAUUAAAUUAGUCAGGAUUCACCCUUGUCCUCAAAAGAAUUGCAAAAUCAUGCCCACCUUUUCUCAUUGGAUUCCUCAAACGAAUGGAAUGGAGUGUCUCAAACAAUGGGAUUAGCACUAAAACUUCUACAGCAGGUUGGACAUGGUUCAGCACAAUCAUAACCUUGAAUUUGCAAUUUAUACAAAAGUCUCGAAAGAAGACAGAUGUGUAAAUAGAAACUUAAAUUAUCAUUAGCACCAAGAUAAUGGAUUCAAUCAGCAACUCUAUCACAUAGGUGCAUUCUGCUUUUCAAACUAUAUCCGUUUUUCAUGAAUGGGAUUAGUGAAGCCAGGAGAAGCUAUGUCAAAGGAGAACUACCUCAAAUAGAGCUUCAGCAAGCAUGACUAUUCGUGAUAUACUUCCACGAGCACUCGACUCCUCAGCCAUCAAGAAUGAUUCACACGAGCAUGUACCGUCAGGGUGGAGUCCAGAAGGACAAGAGGUUGUUCGUCGACCAUUCUCAUCAAGGCCACCACGAAGUCUUUCCCAGAUCUGCAAAGAGUAAGCAAGAGUAGUUCAUAAGAAUUACAAAUGAAGGAAAGAGAUUUUAACCUUAUUUUUUAUGUUCAGCUAACCCAGCCCCCGUGACUACUGGAUAGACAAAGAAUGGAGUGGCAUGCAAUUAUACCAAAGAAACUAAAAGAACAAUUGAAUAGUGCAACAAUAAAAGACCAGGGCUUGCAAUUGUUUUUUUUUAUAUAAAAAACAAAAACCUCUAUCAAGCCAAAGAUUCGUGCAAAGAUAUUGAAUUACAGGGCCAGGAUCCCUGACUUUGAAGCUUGAGAGGAUGAGAACAUAAAAUUUCUAUUUUGAAGUGGCGAUUUCAUUAGGACUAAUUUAAAAUGUUUCCAAGAAUAAGGGGGAUUUAAAAAAAAAUUGAACGCCCUGGCCCCUGUUAGGUUUUGUCCCUGUACAGGGUUGUCUUCCUAGGCUUCCUUCCCAAAUCCAAACUUCAGUGGAUUAAUAGCUGUACAAGGGUCUUCUUGAUGAUUGUAAGAACUGAUCAACGCCAAAAAUAUACAGAACUAUAAUCCCCAACAUGUAUCACAAGUGUGUGUGCAAAAGUAAAUGAUAGUAUAGCAUUCUUUCCUCAAAAACUAUUCAGAAAUAUCACCUCAGAUCUUGAGUGUCGUCUUCGUUCAUUCAAUCUGUGAAUUCUCCUGCUCAUGUAUCCAGAAUCACUGCCUAUCCCAUCGUCAAAAAAAUCACCACUGAAAUCAAGGAGCCAUCUGUCAUGGGAUUCAAGAUCAUCAGUAUUAUCUGUUGAGAAGACAAUAGUAGGAGAAUCAACAUGCCUCCUAGAACUGCGCCUUGAAAAUGCGUCCCGAAACAAUCUUCUGCUAUUCCUUCUGGCCUCACGACUGCUUGUAUCUGAAUUGCUGCUUGAAUAAAUGCUGGAAGAGAUACUCACAACAUCUACAUGGAGUACACUUCCAUCUGUCCUCCCUUGUUCCCUAUUGGGCACAAGAAGUCCUAAAUCUGAAGGUACUGGAUCUUGGAUAGACUCAUCUUGUGUUGAGCGAAAGGUUACUGGGACAAUAGAUCUAUGAUUUACUGAAUCAGAAUUAGAAUUUGGCAUGUCUGUUACUUCACCCAUAUGAUUGUCAAAAGCCAAACCAUUAGAACAUGAAUCUCCAUGCCUCGGUGAGUUUGAACUGCUUGUAUGUAUUAUAUCAGGAUAGAUCUGAGAGAAACCCUCGUUCUCUGAAUUUUCAAUGCCAUUGACAGAAUCCAUGUUAGUUGAAACAUUCAUUGAUACAGGAUCUGAUGACUGUCGUUCUUUAAAUGAAGUACUAGCUUCAGCAAUACUUAUAUUUCUACCUGAUUCAUCAUGACUAUCACUUACCUGAUCUGGGCCAACUAACUCCUUACUAUCAGAUAGGCAUUUUCCUCGAGAGUUUGUGUCAAGAUUUCUAUAACCAUAUUUCUCAGAAGUUCCCUCACUGGCUCUUAUUCUGUUUCCAGAUGAUCCUCCAGUUUCAGUAUCUGAGCUUCUAGACCCUGUUACUGUAUUGGAAACCACAGAUGAUUCCUCUGCAGAAUUCUGUACCUCGAUGACUGGACAACACUGUUCUGCAGAAUUCAUCAGAAUCUUGUCUGGAUAGUCUUCCAUCUAUUGGAAAAAGAUCACACACAUAUCAGUAUCCUCUAUAAAAGGUAGCCACGAACAUUUGAAUAAUAGCAUCCUUAAAAAGACUUCUCCAAACAUUAAAAAAUAAAUUUCACAUUGAUCAAGACUAGAAAUGUCACAGGAAAUGAAUACUGCCACCUCACCACAUCUUGUUCUUGAAUGAUAGGAGAAGUGCCUAUUGUCUAGAUUUGUAUAGACCCUAUAUCAACACCAUGGAAUUGCUCCAUAUGGCAGAACCAUGCUCUCACAAAUCGCAAUAGUCAGUUUCAGUCAUAAUAAAAAAGAUAAAGGAGUUUCAAUUACAAACUUACAGAAAUAGUUUACAGCAAAACAAGCAUUAAUAUUUUCUUUAAAAAACUUGCAAAUCAAUUGAGGGCAUUGUGCAAAGCUGCCGAGUAUAAAUUGAUCAUUGAUUAUGGUGGGAAAGUGCUCAUACUAAGAAAGUUGUGCUACUCUAAUGUCAAAUGUAACUAAUUAAUAAAACAUUCUGAAAUAGCAAUUUCAAAUACAGGGAUACAUUAUCUUGCAGGAAACCAUUUGUUUGUUAACGUUAACUUAACCUAAGGCAACCAUUAAAUUGAACAUCUUGAAAUUCGACUGAAAUCUCUAAGAACCCCCAAGUAACUAAAAACUCAAUGAGAACUCACAUGGAAAACAAAAGCCUUAAAAUUAAAACCAUUUUCUAUUCCAAGUAAUGGUAACUACACAAAACUUGAACUUUUAAUCAAAUAACCAAAGUGAACAAAUAUUCAGAUGACUGGAGGGAUAAACAAAUAUCGAUAAACAAAUAAUUCCAAUCAAAAUUUGUUGACAAACACAAAAGAAAAAAUAAAAAAUUGCUUCCACAAACAGUUAACAAGCAACAGAAACAAAAUUCCAUAAAACCUAAACAAGACAAAUUUUCCAACAUCACAUGAUCAAUCCUAGAUCAUCAAAAAGCACAAAUAUUUCAAUGUAAAGAUUCAAACUUCGAUAAAAAAAAAAAAAAAAACACAAAACGGGGACUCAUUAUUUUCUCUAAAGUCAAUUCCUUUUACACGAUAACCACAUAAACAAUCCAUUAUCAACACUAAUUGACCAACCCCAGAUCAUCAAAACCAAUUAAAAAGAAACAGAAGUAAUAAAUCAAUUUCAAGUCGAAAAUCUUUAAUCUCUCUUUUUUGGUACCUCGUGACGAGCUGUACGAGAAGAAGAGGAGCCACCACAGAUGAGAGAAGAGAAGAACCUGGACGACCUGCUAUUCGGUCGGGUCCGUGAUGUGCGUGACCCCGGUCUACUACUAUUCGAACCCAUUUCUUUAGAGAAAGAGAAAGGCUGAGAAAUUAAAUGGUGGUGGUGAAUGAUGAUGGAACUGUAUAGCUAAUAUGUAUAUAUAUUUUUUAUUUUAUUAUUUUGAAAUUGAAAUUUCUUGUUGCAAUUAUUAGAGGAGAGAGUUUUUGUUUUUGUUUUUGUUUUUGUUUUCGUAUGGAAGAGGUGAAGUGUUUUUGAGUCUUGUAGUUUUUCUUGCACAAACACCCGCAUUCGGUGCCACGUUAUAGGCUGUCGUUUCCUCUCGAUAAUGAUACAGACACCUCACUUUCAAAAUCUUGAUUUUACAAAACCCAAUCUAAUUUAUGAGUUGAUUUAAAACCGGCCAACUCGAUCUUCCAUUUAAGCUAAGUUUUUUUAAAAAUCAACUAAAAAUUAAUUUGUAAUCCAAUUAAUUUUAUUAAAACCUUAUUUGUUUGUUUUUUUAAAUUAAAUCAAUAUUAUUUUAUUUAAAAAAUAAAUAAAAUGAGGUUGAUUUAUAUCAACCCAAAUUAAAUUCUGUCGACUCAUCCAAUUUAUAACCCAAUUUUUAGGCAUGAGUUCAUUAAUUUUGAUUUUUCUUCUAAAAAAUAGACCCCUCUUUUUAUAACUUUUGUUUUUUUCAUGAUUUUGUAACGGUCAACUAGACAUAUUUAGAACAAGUUACAUACAAAAAAUAUUAAAAAGUCUUCUUUUAAAGUUGUUUGGUGGUGCCGUACUAUUUGUUUUUAUAUUUUAAAAGUAAUUUUAAAAAAUUUUAAAAAAAAAUUAUUAUUAUUUUUAUUUUCAAUUAAUAAUUUUUUAGUAUUUUAAGAUUAUUUUGAUACGUUGAUAUUAAAAAUAACUUUUAAAAAUAAAAAAAUUAUUAUUUUAAUAUAUUUCUAAAUUAAAACAAUCACAACUAUAUUUUUAAAUAAGUUAAUAAUGUAUGAGCAAACCAUAUAUAUUAUUAUUAUAUUAUUAUUAUUUAACAGGGGCUGCUCGAGGAGGGGAUAUUUCCCCUUCUCAUAUGUUAUUCGUUGGAAUAUAUAUAUUAUUUUUGUAUUUAUAUUUUUCAUUUUAUUUUUUAAUAUUAAAUUUAUUUAAAACUAAACUUUUUAAUUUAUUUCUAGUUUUUAUACAGAAUUAUCAUUGUCUUCAAAAAAUCAUAAUAUUGAAUUGAUGUUUAUUUUUAUGAUUAUCCAUUUUUUUAUUAUAUUAUUAAAUUAGAAAUAUCUAUCAUAUUAUUAAAAAAAUUAAUUAUAAAAAAAUAUAAUUAUUAUUAAUUGAACUUCAUAAUUUAUUUUGAUUUAUUGUAGUAAUGAGCAGUGAAAUGCCAAGUUCUUUUUUCACUUUGGUUCUCAAAAGAAAUUAAUGAUUUUUUUUUAAUUUCAAACUUAGUUGUUGUUUUUUCUUAUCUUACUACAUUGGAUUUACAGGCGUUAUACUUUAUAAUUUAUUUUAUUUUUUUUAUUUAAUUAUUCUAGCCUUAUGAUCCUAGUUGUAGGUUAACUAUGUUGACUCGGAUUUUUUAGUUCUUUUUUAAUUAAAUAUUUUUUUAAUUUUUUCCUUUAACAUUAGACUAAUUGAAAAUCAAAUUUUUAUUUUUAUUUUUAUUGAGUUUAUCCCGGUCUCCUGAUCCAGGUUUGGUAAGUUAACCUUGACUGACUUGUGUCAUUUUUUAUCUUUUUGUUUGAUUUAAUAAAAUAAUUAGUCCUUCAACAUUAAGUUGAUUGAUAAUUAGAUUUCAUAAUUUUAUCUUAUUUGUUUUCUAUAUAAUAUUAUCAUGAUUUUAUAAUCCGAGUUGUAGGUUAGCUUGGUUGACUUAAGGUUAUUUUUUGUUCUUUUUAGUUGAUUUUUUUAAAUUUCAUCUUUUAAUUUUGGGUUGAUUGAGAAUUAGACUUUAUAAUUUGUUUCAUUUGCAUUCUAUGAGGUUAUCUCGGUCUCAUGACCUGUCAUUGAUUUGCUUGGUUAACUUGAGUUGACUUGGGUAUAUUUAUAUUCUUUUUUUAAUUGAUUUUUUUUAUAGUUUCAUUAUUCAACUUUUAGUUGAUUAAGAAUUGAGUUUUAUAAUUUUUUUUUGUGGGGUUAUUUUAGUUUCACGAUCAAAGUUUACUCGGUUUAUUUUUUAAAUUGAAUUUUAUUUUCAAUUUCAUCUUUCAAUAUUGGCUUAAUUGAUAAUUAAAUUUAAUAAUUUUUUUUAUUUGCUUUCUAUAUAGUUAUUAAGGUCUCAUGACUUGAGUAGCAGAUUUGAGAGGUGAACUCGAGUUGAUUCAAAUUGAUAUAAUAUGUUAUCGUUUAAAUAAUUUUUUUUUAAAAGAUGUUUUUUUAAUUUUUUUAAGCUAAACUAUGUUUUUAAAUGUCGUUCGAGUUGUUUUUAGAUAUAUCAAGUCAACUAUAUCACAUCAAGUUAAUCCCAAUAUGUUUUAAAAAAUUUCAUGCUAAAAGAACAUUUUAACAAUACUAUAAUUUUUUUCUAUAUCCAAUAAAAUUUUGAUAAGACCCACGAUAUACCACAUACAAUCAUCUAGUUUAUUUCUAUUCUACAAUAAAAAAAGGCGCUCGCACGUAUGUGUGUUCACAUCUAUUUUUGAAAAUUUUGAUCGCAAUGAGUAUAGUUUAAGAAACAAGUAUUAGUUGUUGAUUUAUAUAUAUAUAUAAAAUAACCGAAGUCCAAUUUGAUUGUAAAUUACAGUGAUUUAUGGUUCAUGGUGGUAUUAUAGUCGGCGAUUACUAAGCUAUAUGGAUUUAAAGAGGAAGUCUUCCAACAGCAGAACAUGUCAAUGUCAAUUGCUAUUUAAUUUUGGUUGAAGAUAAGAGAAAGCUUGAUGGAUUUUUAAUAGAAUUUGUGUGGUGUUUGUGCUUUCCUAAAACCUCAAGAAAAUCCCUAUAAUUUACUCUACAAGAAAUACGUGCAAAGGGUUGACAUUGAAAUAGGUUGCUUUCGUAAAAGAAAUCUGACCUGAAGAUGGGAAAUUAAGAAACAAAGACGGUGUAUGAGUAAGAACACCACCGCAGUAUGUGUAAGAACACCACCGCAGCUCUUCAUGGAAUACUGAGGUUUUUUCACACAGAGUAUUCCAAAUUGGCUGAAAACCAAGCCAGACUCGCCCAACAGACACCAUAAUUCAUGGUCUUCAGCCCUCCAUUUCUAGCUCAUCUGGUGCUGAUGUGUGGAUGGAAAUCGAAAUUUCCCUCGCCUCGGAGAGAAGGGCUGACUGUUGAAAUCAAGCUAACAGUGAAGUCUAACUCUCACACACCACACGCCUCAAGUCACGUUAAUUAUUAAGUUCUAAUUUUCAGUUUAUUUUUAAUUUUGUUUUCUGUGAGAAUGGAGUUGUCGUUCUCAAUAUCAUGUGAAAAACUACACUUGUUUUUUUUUAAAAAAACUAUUUUUUUUCCAUUUUUUUCUUGGUGACAAAAGUUAAAAUAGUAUAUUAAUAUUAAGUUGAGAGGCAUCGGUGACCUUUGUUUUUUUUUUUAUUAUUAAGAGUUUAUCUGUUUAUAUUAAAUUGAUAUUUAAAUUUAUUUUAAUGUAUUAAUAUUAAAAAUAAAAAAAUAUCUUAACAUAAAAAAUACUAUGCACAGUACAAAUAAAAUGAUAAAGUGAUAAAGUUGAUGAGACAUCGGUGACCUUUGUUUUUUUGUGUUUUUUUAAGAGUUUAUUUGUUUAUAUUUUUUGAUAUUUUUAAUAUAUUAAUAUUAAAAAUAAAAAAUUAUUUUAAUAUAUUUUAAAAUAAAAAAUGUGAUGCACUAUAAUAUCUCUUAUGCUCACGAUGACACCUUGCAAGCUAGCUAGCAAACCAUCAUCCUUUGUUUCCUUUGCCUCGCUUGAGUUUUUGUUAGUUGUCGGCAGUCGGCACAAUCCAAACAAAUACUGGAUGUCGUCUGGGACGCGGCAAAAACUAACUAGUCAAAUUGAUUUUUUGAUUAUAAAAAUGUUUAAUUAAUUAGUAACAAAUCUUUAGAAUAAUUAAUUUUUUAGUAUUGGUUGUUUUUUAAAAUAUUUUUUAUUUAAAAAUAGAUAUAAAAUAAAAAAAUAUAAUUUAAAUAAAAAAAAUCUCAAAAAUAUUUUUUUAACGCGAAAACAAAACAAACUAUACUAGUGAUUUAUCAUCAAAUUAUAGCUAAACCAAUUACAUUAGCAUUUAUUUCUCUAGAACAUGUUUCAAAUUCAACCGUCUAUAUGAUUUGUAUAAUUCUUUUUGAUAGGAGGAAACGUCAAGUGAAAUCAACAAGAGCCACUUCCAAAGUCUAGAGAAAUCCAUGAAUUUCAGGUAGAAACCUACCAAACCAAGCACAAACGUGGGUUUGACUUGUAGUUUUGAAAAUUUGAAGGAAAGAUACUGGACAAAUUCAUGAAACAUUAAACUGUGCAACCCAACUAGCUUAGCCCUAUCCACUCACAUGUAUAAAUUCAGAGACUAUCUCAAUACAUUUCUCCACAUCCAUAUCAAACAACAACAAAGAGCUGUCGGAAGAAAGAAAUUAGAAGAUGCACAAUCCCCCACCGCCAGAGCCCCGUCACCAGCCCGGCCACCCACCGCCAGAGCCCCAUCCACCACCACCCGGUCCACCACAGCGCGAACCUCCUCCCCCUCGUGGCCAUUCUCCUCCUCCUCCAGGUCCGCAUGCACCACCAUCCGGUCCACCACACCGUGAACCUCCUCCUCCAGGCCCGCGUGCACCUCCACCUGAUCAUCACCGUCCUUAGUCGAUCAUAUAUAUGAAGAACUCGAUCGAAGCUAAGCCUAGCAAUAUAUGAAUAAGCGUAUCCAUAGGGGUUGAUGAUGUAACGGAAGGAUGCUCUGUAUAGCUAGUUUUACCUGGCUUAGCUCACCAGUAAUUUUAUUUUCACUUCCAGUGUGUGUAUGUGUAACGUGCUUGCUGUUUCAUUCUCGGAGAAACAUGUAUGGUGCUUGGAUAAUUAAUUAGUAAUAAGAGUAGAGUACUGUUUAUCGUCUAAGAAUAUGCCUUUCUUUCUUUCUAAGAACGUACGAUAAAUCUAAAAAAAGGAAGAUUUACAUGGAUGAAUUUUGUUGAAGGUGCUACAAAAUUCCAUUAAGAGAUUUAUAAAACUUAAUUUUUUUUUUAAAUUAAUGUGGGUGUUUAUAGUGGCGGAGGAAGUGGCAAGAAAAUGCCCCUCCCAUGUAAAUAUUUAUAACAUGGAUGAAUUUUGUUGAAGGUGCUACAAAAUUCCAUUAAGAGAUUUUAUAUAAAACUUAAUUUUUUUUUUUAGAUUAACAUGG